rnacentral:rRNA from 1 species
GUCUACAGCCAUACCACUCUAAACCUGCCCUAUCUCCUCUGAUUGCGGAAGAUAGGCAGGGUCAGGCCUGGUUAGUACUUGGAUGGGAGACUGCCUGGGAAUACAGGGUGCUGUAGGCU